rnacentral:rRNA from 1 species
UACAGAGGGUGCGAGCGUUGUCCGGAAUCACUGGGCGUAAAGGGCGCGUAGGCGGCCUGAUAAGUAGGGGUGAAAUCCUGUGGCUCAACUGCAGGGCUGCCUCCUAGACUGUCGGGCUUGAGCACGGUAGAGGCAGAUGGAAUUCCCGGUGUAGCGGUGGAAUGCGUAGAGAUCGGGAAGAACAUCGGUGGCGAAGGCGGUCUGCUGGGCCACUACUGACGCUGAGGAGCGAAAGCCAGGGGAGCAAACGGG